rnacentral:misc_RNA from 1 species
CCAUGCAUUGCUUCUAAGCAAAUGUAAAGCAGAAUGAAUAUAUAUAUAACUAGCUCAAAGAUAUAGUUCCUUUGUUAGUUUUCACUGGUAACCAACAUUUCCCAGAGGCUUGGAACUUUCUCUCUUUCUUUCCCUUUCGUGGGUCUCAGGGAUGGUUGGGGAUGUCACUCUUUCAUUGUUCUUUACAUUUGCUUAGAAGCAAUGCAUGGUGAGGAUUGAGAUUACAGGGUGUCGUAAGGAAGAAAAUUGAAAGGCUACUUAAAGAAUAUGGGUUAAGAGAGUCUCAAGAUGGAGUGAAACCCAUUUUUCUGCAGCCAGUUUUGCGGAGUCCUAAUCUGCUGUGGGAAUCCUGAUGAUGCUGCAGCAUUUGCAACCAACUGUUGAGGAGGAGGAGGUCCGGAUUGCCAUUGUUGCUGUUGGUGGUGGUGGUAAUCGCUUGGAGAUAAUGAAAGAUCACUGCCAAUUCGGCCUCCAUUGCUGCUGCGCAGCAAUGGAGGCCGAAUUUGAUAGUUUGGCGAAAACCCAUGAAGCAUCUGGGUCUCUCCAGGUCUCCUGAGUUGUCCGUAUAUUUGUGCUUCAUUUCCUGGAGAUUGAAUGUGGGUUUGGCUAAGAAGCUGCAUUGUUUCAGUCUCACUGUACCCUUCUCUUCUAUGGUCAUCACUUUCACUACUUCUAUACAGGUUUAGCUUAGGCCUAAUUCCAGCGUUUC